CCGAGUGUAAAAACUCCCAAACCCAUUGUGAACAUACCACUGUUGCUUCGGCGGAUCCGUCCCGGGCGCGCCCUCUCAGGCGUGCCCCGGAACCAGGCGCCCGCCGGGGGAAAAACCAAAACUCUUUGUUUUCUUGAGAAUCUCUGAGUGUGAUUUAUAGCAAAUCAAAUCA
rnacentral:misc_RNA from 1 species